UGGGGAAUAUUGCACAAUGGGGGAAACCCUGAUGCAGCCAUGCCGCGUGUGUGAAGAAGGCCUUCGGGUUGUAAAGCACUUUCAGUUGUGAGGAAAAGCUGGUAGUUAAUACCUGCCAGUCGUGACGUCAGCAACAGAAGAAGCACCGGCUAACUCCGUGCCAGCAGCCGCGGUAAUACGGAGGGUGCAAGCGUUAAUCGGAAUUACUGGGCGUAAAGCGCACGCAGGCGGUUUGUUAAGCUAGAUGUGAAAGCCCCGGGCUCAACCUGGGACGGUCAUUUAGAACUGGCAGACUAGAGUCUUGGAGAGGGGAGUGGAAUUCCAGGUGUAGCGGUGAAAUGCGUAGAGAUCUGGAGGAACAUCAGUGGCGAAGGCGACUCCCUGGCCAAAGACUGACGCUCAGGUGCGAAAGUGUGGGUAGCGAACAGGAUUAGAUACCCUGGUAGUCCACACCGUAAACGCUGUCUACUAGCUGUUUGCGAUUUUAAAUUGUGAGUAGCGAAGCUAACGCGCUAAGUAGACCGCCUGGGAGA
rnacentral:rRNA from 1 species